GCUUAUGCAACUGGGAUAGCUCAGUCGGUAGAGCAUGAGACUCUUAAUUUCAGGGUCGUGGGUUUGACCCCCACGUCAGGCA